rnacentral:rRNA from 1 species
UACGUAGGGAGCAAGCGUUGUCCGGAAUCACUGGGCGUAAAGGGCGCGUAGGUGGCCCCGUAAGUGUGUGGUGAAAGCCCGGGGCUCAACCCCGGGUCGGCCAUGCAAACUGGGGGGCUGGAGCACUGUAGAGGCAGGCGGAAUUCCGGGUGUAGCGGUGGAAUGCGUAGAGAUCCGGAAGAACACCGGUGGCGAAGGCGGCCUGCUGGGCAGUUGCUGACACUGAGGCGCGACAGCGUGGGGAGCAAACAGG